rnacentral:lncRNA from 1 species
AAGCUUAUGUACUUCCGAAAGCACGAAGGUCUCUGCACUUGUAAGUUAUUUUUAUUGAUGGAAUAUCCGAUUCGACGAUUGGCUUCAUUAGAUAUGACCUACGCUAUUAAAAUUAUUUAGAAAUCAAAUUUCAUAAUUUUUUUUAUUUCUUUUAUCUAGUGCUAGAGUAGUCUCAAAAUAAACGGCUACAAAUAAAAAUCUCAUAAACAUCAGCGAUAAAAAACUCAAAUUUUAAAUCAGAAGUAUUGUUCUUGUUCUUGAUAUUCAGUAGAAUUUUUUAUUAAAAUUCAUAUAAUUUAGAUUCUUCUACGUUGUUGAAUUUACACACCCGCCACAUCCUUUAAUUACUUAGUAAAUAAUGUUAGAAAAUUAUAAAAUUUAGUUUCUAAAUAGUUCUAAUAACGUAGAUUAUAUUUAGAAAAAAUUUCAAAUACCAUCCAUGUGGUUUCAUACUUUCUUACUUUAGUACCUUGUGGUUUAAAGUGUAUCAAUUUAGUAUCCUAUGGUUUUAUUUUUAUCUUUUCGUCAGCUUUUCUGUUAAUAUUUCGUUCAAUUAUAUACAAAAAAAACUUUAGAUACCACAAAAAUUGGUAGAAUCAAUGAUAAAAAGAUAAAAAUGAAACCACAUGAUACUAACUUGAUACACUUUAAACCACAUGGUACUAAAGUGAGAAAGUGCAAAACCACAAGAAUGAUAUUUGAAGUUUAUCUUGUUAUUUAAUAGAGCUGAUCGUUGAAUCGAAUAUCCGAUUAUCAAAACAACUAACAAGCACAAAAGCCUCCUUGCUUUCAAAAAUGCAGGAGACGUACUCUAAUGUUAAUAU